CCAGUCAUGGAAAGAAAUCCGAUAAAGAAACACAAUCGCCUGUUUUGAAGAUAUUCAAAGAUAUCAUGCAGAAGGAAGUCAAAGAUCCUGAAAAAGUAAACUUACUCAAAGACAAGAAGAGAGAAAAGAAGAGAAAAGUCUAUCCCGAAUCUCGUCCAAAGUCAGAUCAAAGGUCCUACGACUCCAGCAGCACGGGCAGAUAUAGAACGAACGAUCAAACAAAAAUUACCGUUCAAGAACUGCAAGAAG